AAAGGGAGGAGGCAAAUACCAGAAGUAUAAAGGCUCUGGAAGGAGCAGCACCUGCUUUGUCUCUCUGACUUAACUUCAGGAUGGGUGAAGGGCCUGAUGCAGAAAAAGGCUGCUAAUGAGAAUGAAGACACUUUUUCUCUUUCUGCGGCUAUACCCACUAAAACAACAGAGACUAGUUUCAGUCAACAACGCCGUGCUCUGGGAGACUGGGCAGCAGGUCACAGUGCAGAGUGAAGAAGCAUUCAUCAGUAUGUGAAUGGUGUCAGUGUUUCCAUUCUGUUUCCGGUGAGGCAGUGGUCUCUUGCCCUAAGAAUGUCACCUGGACUGAAGAAAGAAUUGAUAACAUCUUGUACCUUAUUACUGAUGCCCGCUGUCCUGAUGCUCAGACAACCACAGAUCUCAUUUGCAGGCAGUGAAACCAAGCGAUGCAUGCAGCAAGCUCGUUCUUCUUUUUGCCAUGGUACUCCACAGUAUCCAAAAUCUUGUAAAAUGUCUGUC